GUUUGGUGCGUUGUGUUGAAACGUGAAAGCAUCAACAAAUCUGCGAGCACAAAUCAGAGAUGAGGGAGAAGGCGAGGUGAGCGAUGCGCCGAGGUCAACGUGGUCUCCGGGGUUCUCUUUGGUGGAGGAGGAGCAACAGUCUGGACAGAGGUCAUCAGUCAGAGUGUAACCAGGGGUCUGCAACCUCCGCCACUUAAAGAGCCAUCCGAGUCGAUUUCUCGCCAACCCUCAGGAGUGAUAAAGUCUUCGCUCAGCCUUUAGAAAAUAA